rnacentral:rRNA from 1 species
UACGGGGGGUGCAAACGUUGCUCGGAAUCAUUGGGCGUAAAGCGCACGUAGGCGGUCUGUUAUGUCGGAUGUGAAAGCCCUUGGCUCAACUGAGGAAGUGCAUCCGAAACUGGCAGGCUAGAGUACUAAAGAGGAUCGCGGAAUUCCCGGUGUAGAGGUGAAAUUCGUAGAUAUCGGGAGGAACACCGGUGGCGAAGGCGGCGAUCUGGGUAGAUACUGACGCUGAGGUGCGAAAGCUAGGGGAGCAAACGGG